rnacentral:rRNA from 1 species
GACGAACGCUGGCGGCGUGCUUAACACAUGCAAGUCGAACGAAGUGGCGAACGGGUGAGUAACGCGUAAUCAACCUGCUCUUCAGAGGGGGAAAACAGUUGGAAACGACUGCUAAUACCGCAUACUGAAGGAGGGGAUUGCGUCUGAUUAGCCAGUUGGGGGGGUAACGGCCCACCAAGGCGAUGAUCAGAAGCCGGUCUGAGAGGAUGAUCGGCCACAUUGGGAAGGAGACACGGCCCAGACUCAUACGGGGGGCAGCAGUGGGGAAGCUUCCGCAAUGGACGAAAGUCUUACGGAGCAACGCCGCGUGAGUGAUGACGGCCUUCGGGUUGUAAGGCUCUGUUAAUCGGGACGCGGUACCGGAAUAGAAAACCACGGCUAACUACGUGCCAGCAGCCGCGGUAAUAC